CGGUAACAGUGGAACGCAAAUGGAACGCAAAUGGAACGCGAAUGGAACGCGAAUGGAACGCGAAUGGAACAGAAUAGAACGCGAAUGGAACGCGAAUGGAACGCAAAUGGAACGCAUUUAGGAACGCGUUCCGGACACGUUCCGAACGCGUUUUCUGUUAGGUUAUUUCUGAACAGUACUGUAGGUACAGUAUAUACAGUUAAGUGAUAGGGCUAUCAUUUAAAAUUAUAGUUUAGUUCAGGUUUCCUCUUCUAGUAAAAGUGCACAUAUAAGGGAUGACUCGUUCUCGACCUCUGGAAACAACAACUUACAGCGGAUAAAACUUUCUGGUAUAACUGAUAGAAAGUUUCGCUUCCUCUGGGCUUAUUCUUCUAGUAACAUUGUAACCUUCAUUCAAACAAGGAUGGCAAUUAAUGAGAGUUGACAGAUGAAAGUUUGAGCAAGAGUUUUCUCAACUCUCGUGGCCCUGUCAGAUGAGAACAAGAUGAGAGUUGACUAGAUAAUACUGAUCAAACUAGCAAAAACUCUGGUUAAUUCUUAUGUAGAUUUGAACCAACUCAAAUUUCGAUGAAAGUUGGUGAGAGUCGACGAGAGUUUGCUGUGAAAUGCGCGAUUCAGAGUUGCAAUUCUUACCAUCAACUCUCAUUUUUGUUUGACUGGGGCUUUUUUAUAUAAAAUUUAUGUAGAUGUUUGCCUUAACAAGGGGGCUCACUUAUUACAAUGGGUACAUUAGUUUUUCUAUAAAAAAGAGAAAAAAAAGAACACAAAUUAGGAAACAUAACACAUAGAACUAAUAAGGACAACAACAAAAAAAUAAACAUAAGACAUAUAUACAUAUUGUGACAAAGCAAAGGCUAGCAAAACCGGCAAGUAUCCAAAACAAAUUGUUGGACAAAACCAAACAGUGAACAAUUUUUAUCAUAACUUAAUUGAUAAGAUCCUUCAACAUAUAAUCAAGUUUCACAUUGUCACUUUUCGCUAGCCAUACUUGGCCACAAACUUGUGCAGCAGAGGUAAGAAAAGUGUUACGUUGAGCAGCAAAACAAGGACAUAAUAAGAAAUAAUGUUAACAGUUUCACGUUUCAGGCCACAAAUACAUAACGGAGAAUUACAACAAUUAAUUGUGUACAAGUAAUCAUUUAGUGCACAGAAACCUAAUCGUAAACGCGUGUGCAGAACUGAAGCCCUCCUCGUCAGUGAAAAAUUAAACCACUUAUCGUAACGUAGCGGCCGGUAUAUUAUUACCAGUUCGUAAAGGAAUAUAUGAUUUAACAUUAAUUAACUUUGGCAAAAGUUUAACCAAGGAAGUGGGAGCACAAUUAUUAACUAUUUUGUAAAAAAGAGAUAACUUAUGAACUUUUCUUCUGAUAUUCAACUCCUCCCAAGCAAGUUAUUUGAGAAGACUUUUUGAACUAGUUCCUGCAA